UAUCAGAUUAGUCUCCAUUUAAUGUCAUUCCUGUUUAGGAGAAACAGCUGAGGAAACUCUUUCCUAUGAGUAUAUGCAAACCAGUCACUUAUAAAGCUCCUCUCCCUUUCCUUAAGGAUGUAGAUAUGCAGGUAAUGAUUAUCCAAAUGGAAUGGAAUUUCCUCAUCCAGUAGACAAAUGCAGGACGUGCCGUUGUGAAAAUGGUAACAUCCAGUGUCUGAUGAAGCGGUGAAUUGUGCUGCUGCAUUCGUUCCUUCAAGAGAGUGCUGCCCCCAGUGUCCAGUCAGUCAUGCUCCUGCAUCAAUGGGGUGGAGAGCUGCCACUGCAGGCCCUGCCCCUCUGCUGUCUGCUCUCAUCCCACAAUUCAAGAGUGCUGUCGCACAUGUGAUGGUGAG